rnacentral:lncRNA from 1 species
AGGAUCUCGAGAGUGCGACUGACCAGGUGUGUGAGCCGGCAACACCGUGCAUCAUGGGAGUCCUCGUGGAGAUCAAGGGCGUGGAGGAAAGCCCUGCCCACACUCCUGCGACUGAGGGUGAGCUGUAUGCAGUCUCUGGAAAUCAUAUGGAGCAAGUUCUGGACCUUAUGGACUGGUCUAUGGAGGUAAUCCCUAAUUUUCCUGUUUUUCCGCUGGUUCCUUCCAUCCCUGAUCCCCCUGUAUACCCUCUCAGUCUCCCACUCCUACCUCCUCCAGUCAGUUCCUAUGCUCCAUUUCCGCUGGUUCUGCCCAGCCCUGAUCCUCCUAUCCUUCCUCCCAUCCUUCCUCUCUCUCCUCCUCCUAGACCAGCCAGUUCCUCGUCAUCCCUGCUGGUGCCAGUCAGUCCCGCAGCUCACCCUCAGUCCGCGCCAUCUGGGCGCGAUGGUUCGCCGCUGGACUGCCAGUCUCCAGCUCCGCCAUGGCGCAUUAAGGCCCUUGUCUCCGCCUCCAGCCUCCGAGCCCUGGACUCUUCCUCGGUCCUUCGACCCAGUGUCUCCACCGUGGCCUGGCAUCCCACCUGCUCCACCGGGCUCCCUCGUCCCUCUGGCUCCACCUUGGUCAGUCGUCGACCAUCCGCCGCCUCGGGACUCCACUCCUCUGGUUCCACCUCGUCACUCCAUCCAUCCGGCUCUGUCAGGCUCCUCCUUCCCUCCGGUUCCACCUCCAUCCUCGGUCGCUCCGGCUCCACAGCGGUCUGCCAGGACCCCGCCUCCGCCUUGGUCGCCUGAGCCUUCUGCUCCACCUAGGCCCUCCGGAUCCUCGACGUCACCCUGGCUCUGAGGCUGUGCUGCUCCAUCUUGGGCUCCUCACCCACCGGUGCAGUCUCCGCCUGUUGGCCCCCUGGUGUCGUCGACCCCUCCUUCGCCAUGGCUCCUCCCGCCGUCAACUACACCAUGGAUCUCCGUCCUGGCUGGUCUCUGGUGGACCAUCUGGCUCCUCCUGCUCCGGGCUCCUCCCUGGCUCCUCCCUCCAUCCACUCCGCCCUGGUCCCUACCUGCAUGCUCCCUCGUCACCUGCUCUUGGCCUGCUCCUCACCCGCCUC